UACGUAGGUGGCAAGCGUUGUCCGGAAUUAUUGGGCGUAAAGCGCGCGCAGGUGGUUUCUUAAGUCUGAUGUGAAAGCCCCCGGCUCAACCGGGGAGGGUCAUUGGAAACUGGGAGACUUGAGUGCAGAAGAGGAAAGUGGAAUUCCAAGUGUAGCGGUGAAAUGCGUAGAGAUUUGGAGGAACACCAGUGGCGAAGGCGACUUUCUGGUCUGUAACUGACGCUGAGGUGCGAAAGCGUGGGGAGCAAACAGG
rnacentral:rRNA from 1 species